UGGCUGCUGUCGCCACCGAUUGCUG
rnacentral:miRNA from 1 species